rnacentral:rRNA from 1 species
CCUACGGGCGGCAGCAGUCGAGAAUCAUUCACAAUGGGGGAAACCCUGAUGGUGCGACGCCGCGUGGGGGAAUGAAGGUCUUCGGAUUGUAAACCCCUGUCAUGUGGGAGCAAAUUAAAAAGAUAGUACCACAAGAGGAAGAGACGGCUAACUCUGUGCCAGCAGCCGCGGUAAUACAGAGGUCUCAAGCGUUGUUCGGAAUCACUGGGCGUAAAGCGUGCGUAGGCUGUUUCGUAAGUCGUGUGUGAAAGGCGGGGGCUCAACCCGCGGACGGCACAUGAUACUGCGAGACUAGAGUAAUGGAGGGGGAACCGGAAUGCUCGGUGUAGCAGUGAAAUGCGUAGAUAUCGAGAGGAACACUCGUGGCGAAGGCGGGUUCCUGGACAUUAACUGACGCUGAGGCACGAAGGCCAGGGGAGCGAAAGGGAUUAGAUACCCCAGUAGU